rnacentral:rRNA from 1 species
AGUGAACGCUGGCGGUAGGCCUAACACAUGCAAGUCGAACGGCAGCACAGUAAGAGCUUGCUCUUACGGGUGGCGAGUGGCGGACGGGUGAGGAAUACAUCGGAAUCUACUUUUUCGUGGGGGAUAGCGUAGGGAAACUUACGCUAAUACCGCAUACGACCUACGGGUGAAAGCAUGGGAUCUUCGGACCUUGCGCGAUUGAAUGAGCCGAUGUCGGAUUAGCUAGUUGGCGGGGUAAAGGCCCACCAAGGCGACGAUCCGUAGCUGGUCUGAGAGGAUGAUCAGCCACACUGGAACUGGGACACGGUCCAGACGCCUACGGGAGGCAGCAGUGGGGAAUAGUGGACAAUGGGCGCAAGCCUGAUCCAGCCGUACCGCGUGGGUGAAGAAGGCCUUCGGGUUGUAAAGCCCUUUUGUUGGGAAAGAAAAGCAGCAGGUUAAUACCCCGCUGUUCUGACGGUACCCAAAGAAUAAGCACCGGCUAACUUCGUG